UGUUGCAGAAUUGCAAAUGUUUGGUACUGGUUGAAACUAUGAAAGUAAUACAGGUAAAUUUAAAGAAUUUAGACUUUAACUUUAUUAAUAGAAAAGAUAUUCCCAAAUGUCAAGGUGAAAGUGGACAUUGUAGAUUCUAAACACCCAUGUGAAAGCAACAGUCUUCUAUGGUGAGAGGAUGCCAUACUUAGCAUUAAUGCUCUUGUUAUUAUAUGGAAUAUGGCUUUUUUUAUCAUUAUUUUCACUAUUUUGAUAUUGAACAACCAACAUUGAUAACAAGUAAUAUAAAACUCUCACUUUUUUAUGAAUCCUAUCCUAUCAUAUUAAUUUACUUAUUUAAUUUUUGUUAUAUUUGUUAUCAAUUGUAGGUCUCAUGGUCAUCAUUUAACAGCAGGUUAUUAGCAGCAGUUUUGUAGAAAAAUGAAGGAUGACUGUCAAUGGUAAAUACAUACAUUUUAGGAUAAUUACAUGUAGUUACCUUUGAAAAAAAACUUAGGUUUCAUUUGAGACUUUUUAAUCUGAUAAUGGUGUUUUGCAGGCAUUUAUAACAUUUCUUUUUGGACAAUAUAUUUAGUAGACUCAACUAUAAAAUGUAGGAUCAUGUAAACUUGUACACAGAUGUCACUGACCUACAUUUUCCACUUCACUGACUUUGGUUACAUUAAACAUCCAAUUUCAUAUACAACAAAUGUAUAUCUCAGCAACUAAAAGGUGUCAGAUCAUGCAAACUUAUAUAUACACUCUCAGAGUCUCAGUAACUCAGCUUCCAGGCAAAAGAAGGUCACAGUGAUCCACAUUUUACACUAUUGAUUUGUACUUUAUUUUAUAAUUUAAAUACAAAGUAUAUUAUCAAGACUGCCACUGGUUCUUAUGUGCCACAAUUCUGACAAUGAAGAUAACUAUGUGAUGUAGAUAACUUAUGUUUAUUUCAAACUUGGUCACAUGCUGUAUAUAUGUAAAUUUUUACCAAAAAGAACAGUUCAACUGUUUUGAUUUAAGGUACACAUAUAUGGUAAAGGUCACACCUAUUAAAUAUACAUGUAUACCUUGAAUUUAUUUGCAUUGGACCCUAUAAUGCUCCCUAUAUCAUUUAUAUUGUCAAUUAUUGCAUUCCAAAUUGCCAUUGUUACACAAAACAAAAACCACUAAAAAGGAUGGCCAUCAUAUGCAAAAGCAAUAUAAAAUGCAUACCCAUCAGCUGACCUAAUUAUUGCAAUCACUUCAAAAACCUGGCCAUAUAUCAUAUUAUAAAACUCUUAAUGAGUACCUUUGUUAGUCAGGUAUAAUAUAAUCUUUUUAAAUUGAUGUUGUAAUGCAUGAUUGGAUUAAUUUUGCACUCACUGAAAUAUUAUAUAGAUUUAGUAGUUUAUUAGUAUAUAUUACACCUUUUCAUUACAAACUUUCAGGUAAAUGCAGCAACAGAAUGUUCCCCUGGAAAAUUUACGUAGAAAAUUUGGGAAAGUAUGAAUAAGAAAUUAGAGAGGCAAACAGAUAACCAGAAAACAAAGAUUUUAAAAGAAAAGAAUUGCCACUAAUAGUAAUAUGAUAUAUCUGACUGGGAGCAACAUGUACUAUUCAAUAUGGAAGGAU
rnacentral:lncRNA from 1 species